GAAGAUGUAUUCGGAGAAUAACUGUAAGUCCUCGUAUUCCGCUGGUUUUCAUGGCGCCUAAGUAAUACUUCGAUUUUGAGAGGUUGAUCUACCGAUUAUUAGUUGGAUCGCAUCACAAUGUAGGUAUUAGUUCCACUAAAAUCUUCAUGUGAUUGUAAAUUUCUUGAAGGUUGAUCUUAAGGCUACGUUCAUGAAGAAUCCUUAGAAUUCCAAUUUCUUAGAUUUUCAUUUUCACUCAAAUGAUAAGUUUGAUAUUUGUUAGAAAGACAGAAUUGUUUACCUUUCAAGUGCAAAUGUGAUUUGUGUGAAAAUAGAGGUUGCAUAGUGAAGUUGUAGCAAAAUCAAAACUUUUGAGAUAUGUUAUAUACAUAGGACAUGUUUUGGUGGGAGUCAAAAGCAUUGCAGAAAGAACAAAACUUAUACGAACUAAUGCAAACAAUAGAGUGGGGACUUGGUCAAAGAAAUAUCUUGAAAACAAAUAUGUAUUCUCUUGGUGUAUCUGAACAGAUAAUGCUGUUCUGCAUAAUCUGAUGGCUUCACCAUAUUGUGUGUUCUUAUCAAAACCUAUACUUGAAAAAUAAACCCUGAGAAUAACCAACUAACCUACCUCCAGCUUUGAUAAGGUUGAUUGUUAUGCCCUUUUCUUCUUCUUGCGUUUCUAUAGUAUAUUGCCUUUUUCUGUAUUUGAUUUCUCUUGCGCCGUUUAAGAAAAUGGCUGAGCUUUGUUGUGGAUAGGAUCUGAUCCUCGUCUUACACGUCUCUUGCUUGAUUUGAAUGAGUCUUCUGUCUUAUUCUUUCGUUCUUGUGUCUCCUCAGCUUUGAUUUUAUCUUUGUUAACUUCCUCGAGAACGCGUCGGUUUUUAUUGAGCAUUUCUUGAUCUUCAAGGGUGUGUUUGAAUUGAACACCGAUGCUCCUGAGCUUAGAAAUUUCCUCUGUCUGAACUCCUGCUUUUUCUGCUUGUGUUUCUUUGAGGAAAAACUCUCUAUGUCUCAUGGCUGAGACAUUAUAUCUGUUGUCUGCUAGUAAUCCUAUGCAGACGAGAAGAAAAAACAUUGAUCUUGUACUGGAACCCAACAUUUCUGCUCUUAGGCAGACAAGAAGAUUCAGAGUAUCUUUCUUUUCUUCAAAGAAAUGAGAAGGAACACAGAGGACCGGAGCCGUG